GAAAAAAAUGUGUGGAAAACAUGCUGCCAUUGCCAUAAAAUGAAAAAUCCUGUCUGACUUGCAGAAAGAGCUUGGAUGUAUGCUAGAUCCGUCUAAUAUUGCUUACCAACAGUAAAAUCACAGAACAUGUUCCUGCAGUGUCGUCUACCAGACUGAUGAAUUUCUAAAUGAGCAUACAAGCUUUCCACUGUUUCUUCUCUCUGAAGUCCCUCUGGGUUUAUGCCUUAGCAGCAAUCUGCCCAAG
rnacentral:lncRNA from 1 species